AGAGAGAGAGAGAGAGAGAGAGAGAGAGAGAGAGAGAGAGAGAGAGAGAGAUUUCCUUUAUUUCUAAUUACGUUUCCUUGAAUUGAGGGUAAAAAAGUCCAAAUAAAAAGGAAUUAGUGUAAAAAGUGUCUAUUCCCUAGAAAGUGCCUCAAAAGGAAUAAUAUUCUUUAAAAAUGCCUAAACGUGUCACAUUCCCAUCCGUUUAUUUGAUUAUUCGACUGUUUUUUGUUUAAUCUGGAAUGCCAACAACAAAGGAAUUUGAAAAAGAGGUUAUUACACUAUGAGACACUUUUAGAAAACUAUUUACGGGAUUAGGCACUUUGAAAAUAGAAGGCACUUUACCAAAUCAAAAUUCCUAAAUUGUCCUUUUAAUCACAUUGCACGACGUCGUCUCUCUCAACUCUCUUCUACAUCGUCCUCAUUUCUCUCUCUUUCCAAAAUCAAAACCAAUUUUUUUACGGGAAUCUCAAUAUUCCAAAUCAAAACUAAAAGUCCAAUUUUCAACACUUCAUCUCUCACUGCAAUCGUUCCGGAUGGUCCACCAUCGCUUCUCCACCACCACCUCUGCUUCCGCCUCCGAGCAUGAUCUAUUCUACGGGCAAA
rnacentral:sRNA from 1 species